rnacentral:rRNA from 1 species
AUUGAACGCUGGCGGCAGGCCUAACACAUGCAAGUCGUGCGGAAGAAGGCAGCUUGCUCCUCGAUUCAGCGGCGGACGGGUGUGUAAUGCCUAGGACUCUGCCUGGUAGUGGGGGAUAACGUCCGGAAAUGGGCGCUAAUACCGCAUACGUCCUGAGGGAGAAAGUGGGGGAUCUUCGGACCCCACGCUAUCAGAUGAGCCUAGGUCCGAUUAGCUAGUUGGUGGGGUAAAGGCCUACCAAGGCGACGAUCCGUAACUGGCCUGAGAGGAUGAUCAGUCACACUGAGACUGAGACACGAUACUGGCUCCUACGGGAGGCAGCAGUGGCGAAUGUUGGAAAAUGGGCGGAAGCCUGAUCCAGCCGUGCCGCGUGUGUGAAGAAGGGCUUCGGAUUGUAAAGCACUUUUAGUGGGGAGAAAGGGCAGUAGGUUAGUACCUUGCUGUUUUGACGGUACCAGCAGAAUAAGCACCGGCUAACUUCGUG